rnacentral:lncRNA from 1 species
UUGCCUGCUGAGCGUUUGAAACAGGCCUUGCCCGCCUCUGUACCAUCAGAGUGACGGUGUCGCGAAGGCAGCUCUGUGCACAGCUGGGAACGGGAACUUGCAGCACCACUGACAGGGUGGUGGAAAUUGGGGUGUCUUGUUCUUCCAUAGUUACCUUUUGCGUCCUGGAGCACACAAAUUCCUUCACUUCGAAGGUUCGGCAGACAAGAUUCCUUUUAAAAUAAGGAGUAUUCCAAUUUCUUCCGUUAUCACACCGUUGUGAACACCCAUGCUGUCUAUCAGCCUACUUACAAAUCAGUGCCGUCGUGCUCUAGGGCCUGAGUGUCUCUUGUUAUUCCUGAGCCAAGAGUUAAAAAGUGAUGCGUUUAACAGCCUUAUUAAUUCAUUCAUUAACUCCGCGUUAUUUAAUCAAGUACCACCAAGGAAUUACUGCCAGUCACUCCGUUGUUUUUUUUUUAAUUUUUCUGUAAAAACUGCUGCGGAUGAGGUAUCUUUUCAUUCUUUAUGUCAACUCUCCAAAAGGUGUGGCAUCCCAGAACCAGGAGAUCAAACUUCCAAGGUUGGUGACAACAGCUCUUCUAUGGAUCAAUCCAAAUAUGCUUUGCUGAGAAUAUUGAUAACGUCGUUCAUUUUCAUUUAAGACUGUUUCACAGUGACAGAUGGCCAAAUACAAGGAGCAAAAUAAAUAUGGAUGAUGCUGGCAAUACCGCCUUCGGCACUUUUUUAUUACUUUAAUAUUUUUCUAUGUAAUCUGUAGUUGCGGAUGGGUGCCAGACCGCAUUUAAUUUUUCUUUAUCACCUGGAACUGCAGUUGUUAGUUUUAUGUGCUAAUUCUUCAAGGAAAAGAUAUUUUUCUCUAUGAAGAUGUGGCGUUUCAAUUGAAUAAUAUGACUUCUACUUCAUGUUACACUUUAAUUAACA